GUACGCAAAGAGAAUAUUAUUUCCCAGGAAAAGGUGCUCCAAGCAUUUGAUAAUGCCCUUCAGAAGCAUCUUAAUCCAAUUCAUCGAUCCCUUGAAUCCCUUACCGGACGAAUUGAUACUCUGACUCAUGAAGUGGGACAGAUCAAACAAUCAAACCCUAACCAUCAUGCGAAUGAGCAUUACAGAUCAGAAGCAAAUCAAGAUGCUGCUGGAUUUGCUCAUUAUGGGGAAGCUGUUGAGUUGAGAUUCCUCAAUAAGUUGAAGCCUCGUCUUUAUUAUACACAGGAAAAAAUUACAGCAGAGGAUGGCACGGCUAUCCAAAUUGCCUUAUUUAAGGAUAACCAGAUAGUUAAAUCCGGUCCACUUUCUUCUGCAAGAAUUGAAUUUGUGGCUCUUGAAGGUGACUUUAAUGAUGUUGCCCCUGAAAAUUGGACCGAGUAUAUGUUCAAUCAGAACAUAGCAAGAUCCCCAAAAGGGCCUGUGUUAGGAGGAGUUUGUCAAAUCAAGCUGAAGAAUGGGGAGGCCUCUCCUUCUGGCAUCUCUUUCGUUGUACCAUCUUCAAAGAGUAGAAGCGGAAUGUUCAUUCUGGCAGCAAGAGUUCAUAGCAGUGACAAAGCCGGGUUCCGGAUUAUGGAAGCCUUGAUGAAUCCUGUUGAGGUGCAGGUUUACCGAAACAAAGCAAAUAAAAAUAGUGACACUCCAAAAUUGAAAGAUGACGUAUACCAUUUAAAGGGAAUUUCAAAAAAGGGAACUCGCUUCGAUUGGCUUAAACAUAAUGGGAUCAACACUGUGGAGGAUAUGUUGAAGGCUUUAAAUAAGAACGAAAAGAAGAUUCGCACUGAGUGCUUCAAGCUAAACAAGAGCAGCAAGGAUUGGAAAGAAAUAGUUAAACAUGCUAGAAAGUGUGAUCUCGAAGGCAAUUGCAACCUGAAAUCAUAUAGAGUUGAAGAGAAACAUGUUGUACUAUUCUUUAACUGCGUACAUGAUCUCGUUGGAGCACAAUUUCAUGAUGGCUAUGUUACAAAGGACAAUUUCAAUUCAGAUCAGCAGGAUGCCGUGAAUUGUUUGAAAAAACAAGCGUAUGAUGCUCUGGAUGACAUUGCCUUCGAUGACAAAAUGAAAGACAACUAUCCAGUAUCUUUGUCUUCAGCUAUGAACACAAGCAUUACUGAUGGUGAUGCUUCCAUUCCCUUAACAGACAGAGCAGGAACAAAUUAUCCAGACCUCCAUGUUACAUCUCAAGUUGGGAAUUCUCAUCAUGCUGAGAUUUAUCAAGAACCUGAACUGCUUCAAGCAUUGCUGAACUAUAAUAGUGCCUGUGAGAUUGAACCAAGUAUGAUGAAGGUUAUCGAGCAGGUGCUGUGGCUCAGAUCUUCGGUGGAUUUUCUGAAGUUGACAUCCCUAUUGGGUGCUAUACUGGGUACUUCUUCUGGAGGCAAUGCCUUGAUCGGACUGAUGAAUAUGUCACAGAAUGGCAGCGAUGGCAGCAAUAUUGCAGAACUGAUUGACAACGACAUUGAUCCUUAUCAGUACAUCAUUUAA
rnacentral:lncRNA from 1 species